UACGGGGGGGGGCGAGCGUUGUUCGGAAUUACUGGGCGUAAAGGGUUUGUAGGUGGUCUGCUAAGUCAGACGUGAAAUCCCUCAGCUUAACUGGGGAACUGCGUCUGAUACUGGCGGACUUGAGGACAGGGAGAGGAACGCGGAAUCCAGGUGUAGCGGUGAAAUGCGUAGAUAUCUGAGGAACACCGGUGGCGAAGGCGGCGUUCUGGACUGUUUUUCUGACACUGAAAAAACGAAAGC
rnacentral:rRNA from 1 species